CCUCCCCCACAGCAGAUCAUCUCUGCCACCCAACACCUGUUUAGCCCCCAGGUGUGAAGCCACAGCUCAGCCCAGCUCCAGAGGUCUCUCCCUGCAACAGCUAACGUGGCUGAUCCCAGCCCCACACCCAGCCAACAGCACAGAACAGCUGAUGAAGGUCACAUCGUGAAGUCCCUGCGCAGGGAAAGCUCAGCCAGCCCAGCAAUCCCCGAACUCCAGCAGAGCUGGAUGCCAGGAAAAAGGAUGAACAAAAUACACAAAACAGCAACAACCUCAGAGCUUCAGCUCCAAGCCUCUGCCAAAAGCCAGGGAUAUUGCUGGAGGAAGGAGCAGAGCACACAGGAGAAGACAAAUCAUCAAAAGUGUUUGACUGCUGUCUCAUGCCAUGUUGAAGAGCCAACCACAUCAACUCUUUUGCCCCAAAAGAAAACCUAAACCCUUUCAUCACCUCAAAGAGCAAAAGAAUAAGAGCAGGUAGAGGAUCAGCUCUGACAGACCCAGUGCCAACACCCACCAGCCAAUCCCAGCCACAACACAAACUCCUAAGAUUUUAAUUUUUAAAUUCACAGUUGUGCUUUGUACCAGCUGUAGAGGCUGAAGCACUGGACACCCCAAACCAGAGCUGCCAGCAGCUUUUCUCCUCCGUUAUGGGGCAAACUCUCCAGAAAAGAUCUUUAUUUUUAGUUUGGCAGCCAGCAGUCAUUUUCAGGAUCCAUAAACUGUGUUCAGGAUCAUCCUCACCUUUGUAUUCUGACAAGCCUGAAUUUUUGCUUUAAGUUGCAGUGCAGUUUAUUAGUCCAAAGGAUUUCCAGCUCCAGUUAUUGCCAGGUAGGAGCUGAGCCCCAUUCAUCAUCCCCUUACUUACAAGACAAGGUAGCACAAGGAAGCCAAAGUUCACAUUGACUUCCUGCUAAAAUCAGGCCCUGGAGACAGAAAAAGCUUCAUUUUGUAUUUUCAUCUUGUUGGGCUUUGAAAUUCUGCUCACAAGAUAAGCACGAGGUGGCCAAGACUUCACCACACAGCAGCCCAAGCAUCCUGCCUGUUGUUACCCACAGAGAGGAGAUUCCAGAUCCAGGCAGAGGAUGGCGGGUUUAGGUCUAGAUUUAGUCUAAGCCAGGGGAUAACUGGUUUACUUAAACCCUGCCUGGAGGUGAGGAGCAGGUCAGAUGCAGCAGAGCCCAAGAAAAGCUGUUUAUGGGGACAGGAAUGUGGAGUGAAGGACAACAAGACCUUUGCAGCACUCUAGUUCGACCACAGCAUGAUCCAGGGAUUCCAGCCACAGCCCACAUUUCCAAAAACAACACUCAAUUCCCCCUUUUUGGUCGCUGAGAACAGGAAUACACGAUGGAGGACGAAUGUUACAGCCUAAAAUCUGAGGGGAGCAACAGGACCUCCAUAGGAUUAAUGCAAACAGCAGGUACCAGAGGGAACAAAGACAUCAAGUGUGAUUUCACUGCAGCUCCCAAAUCUACCCUCCAAUAAAGUUCAUCCAACUUAAAAGUAGGGUUUAACU
rnacentral:lncRNA from 1 species